UUUCAGGGCCACCUUAGCCCGAACGGCUUGUCCUUCUUUACUCUGGACCAUGGGGACUGAGCAGCCACUUUGUGCCGUCAUCCAGAUCUAGCAGAAAACCCACAUUUAUACAGAAAGCACUUGGCAAUUUCCUCAGCAUCUUCUCACGUUCUUUUCAUCUGAAACAGAAGUUGGGCCUCUCACCUUGGGAAGAGUGUUCUACAAAGUAAUGAAUUUGCUUGGAGAUGUUUCUGACUGUCUGUGGAGUCACUGCCAAAAGUUGUGAUUGGUGAUUAUGACUUUGGAGGAGCAAAGCUGAUGUGGCUCACACCAGACGAAGGAUGGCUUCCUAGCACUACAUGUGGCAGCUCAUCAGGGAAUAGAGAAGAAAUGACAGAGUCCCUGCCCUUGAGAAGCUGAUACUCCAGUGAGAGAAGAAAACAGGCAAAGAGAAAGAUGUCACGAUGACAAAGUAACACUGAAAUAAAUGUAGAAGAGAAUUGUGGGGAUUCAG